ANAUGNCGAANCUGAUGCAGCAACGCCGCGUGAGCGAUGAAGGCCUUCGGGUCGUAAAGCUCUGUCCUCAAGGAAGAUAAUGACGGUACUUGAGGAGGAAGCCCCGGCUAACUACGUGCCAGCAGCCGCGGUAAUACGUAGGGGGCUAGCGUUAUCCGGAAUUACUGGGCGUAAAGGGUGCGUAGGUGGUUUCUUAAGUCAGAGGUGAAAGGCUACGGCUCAACCGUAGUAAGCCUUUGAAACUGGAAAACUUGAGUGCUGGAGAGGAGAGUGGAAUUCCUAGUGUAGCGGGGAAAUGCGUAGAUAUUAGGAGGAACACCAAUUGCGAAGGCGGCUCUCUGGACUGUAACUGACACUGAGGCACGAAAACGUGGGGAGCAAACAGGAUUAGAUACCCUGGUAGUCCACGCCGUAAACAAUGAGUACUAGCUGUCGGAGGUUACCCCCUUCGGUGGCGCAGCUAACGCAUUAAGUACUCCGCCUGGGAAGUACGCUCGCA
rnacentral:rRNA from 1 species